rnacentral:rRNA from 1 species
UAGGGAAUCUUCCGCAAUGGACGCAAGUCUGACGGAGCAACGCCGCGUGUGUGAAGAAGGAUUUCGGUUCGUAACACUCUGUUGUUAGAGAAGAACAGCGCAUAGAGUAACUGUUAUUCGUGUGACGGUAUCUAACCAGAAAGCUACGGCUAACUACGUGCCAGCAGCCGCGGUAAUACGUAGGUGGUAAGCGUUGUCCGGAUUUAUUGGGCGUAAAGCGAGCGCAGGCGGUUAGAAAAGUCUGAAGUGGAAGGCAGUGGCUCAACCCUUGUAGGCCUUGGAAACUGUUUAACUUGAGUGCAGAAGGGGAGAAAGGAAGUCCAUGUGGAGCGGGGAAGUGCGUAGAUAUAUGGAGGAACACCGGUGGCGGAAGCGGCGCUCUGGUCUGUAACUGACGCUGAAGCUUGAAAGAGGGGGGAGCGAACAGG